rnacentral:rRNA from 1 species
GACGAACGCUGGCGGCGUGCCUAAUACAUGCAAGUAGAACGCUGAAGAGAGGAGCCUGCUCUUCUUGGAUGAGUUGCGAACGGGUGAGUAACGCGUAGGUAACCUGCCUUGUAGCGGGGGAUAACUAUUGGAAACGAUAGCUAAUACCGCAUAACAAUGGAUGACACAUGUCAUUUAUUUGAAAGGGGCAAUUGCUCCACUACAAGAUGGACCUGCGUUGUAUUAGCUAGUAGGUGAGGUAACGGCUCACCUAGGCGACGAUACAUAGCCGACCUGAGAGGGUGAUCGGCCACACUGGGACUGAGACACGGCCCAGACUCCUACGGGAGGCAGCAGUAGGGAAUCUUCGGCAAUGGGGGCAACCCUGACCGAGCAACGCCGCGUGAGUGAAGAAGGUUUUCGGAUCGUAAAGCUCUGUUGUAAGUCAAGAACGAGUGUGAGAGUGGAAAGUUCACACUGUGACGGUAGCUUACCAGAAAGGGACGGCUAACUACGUGCCAGCAGCCGCGGUAAUACGUAGGUCCCGAGCGUUGUCCGGAUUUAUUGGGCGUAAAGCGAGCGCAGGCGGUUUGAUAAGUCUGAAGUUAAAGGCUGUGGCUCAACCAUAGUUCGCUUUGGAAACUGUCAAACUUGAGUGCAGAAGGGGAGAGUGGAAUUCCAUGUGUAGCGGUGAAAUGCGUAGAUAUAUGGGAGGAACACCGGUGGCGAAAGCGGCUCUCUGGUCUGUAACUGACGCUGAGGCUCGAAAGCGUGGGGAGCGAACAGG